AUUCCAGUCUCCACUGUUUCAUCUGAGUCAGCAUUCAGCACUGGUGGUAGAGUUGUGGAUCAGUAUCGAAGCUCUUUGAGCCCUUCUACCGUAGAAGCCUUAGUGUGUACCCAAGAUUGGCUUCGUGAACAAUAUGAUGAAGUUGCAAAUUGCUCGAGUUCUGUAACGUUGAAUGUAGAUGACGACACCCUGGACUCCUGGAGUGGGCAAUUUGGGAGAACUGAAUGACGAUACCCUCAUCAGAUCUAGUUCAUACCUAAAGUAUCAAGUAUGAAGCUUGAAGCUGACUUCAGGGGGUUUCUCUAUUACAUGGAUAUGAUGAAUAUACUAUUGUGCAGGGAACAACGACUUCAGGCCGAUGAUUUUUUUUAUCCUCCUGUUUUUGAUGGAAUCCUUUUGUUUGGUUUCAGUUGUAUCGUUGCAGUUGGUUGCAUGGAAUGAAUUUUUUUGCAAGUUAUCUUCAAACCAUCAGAUGCUAUUUUGUUAAUGAUCUGUCUGAUUGCCUACUUGGUCCAUCUUAUAUUUGAUUUAAGUUGAAUAGGUUGUUUGCUUGUCGACAUUUUUGCUUGUAUGUUUACAAGAGCAGCAUAUGGAACCACUCAGGGGAAUGACAUUAUAAAGCUGAAUUUUGAUCCGUAUAUCUACUGUUUCUUUGUGGUUCUUUAAAGGUAAGUGCACUAUUAUCCAUUGCUGGGUUGCUUCAGUGACUUUAUGAUGAACCAUGGAACCAGCUGUAGUUCCAGGAGAGCAGAAAAUUGGGUGGCAGGUUUGGUCUUCAAGUGAUUUUAGAAUGUCCAAUAAGGAAACCAUUUUCUAUUGGCACAAUGGGUUGCCACAAUGUUAUGUCCCAAUAAUUGUUAUUGAUCAAUGUUUUAUUUUUAAUAUCUUUCAUAUUAUUGCUCUUUCUUGGUUUCUGGAGUGUAUACUGAGAUGAAACAAAUAUUUCUCAGGAGAUUCUAUUUCAUCACGCUCUCCAAAUGUAUCUAAACCUCCACAACUGUCGCCUUUAACAAUUUUAGGUCUGCAACUACCUGCACGCCCAUUAAAACAGAUUAGCUUUUUCAGUGGCAAGAAGGAGGUUCAGAGCUCUGCAACUGUUCUUGGUUAUGUUGCACAUGCUGUAUUGCUUAUUGCAUCGUACCUUGAUGUUCCUGUACGAUAUCCUUUGCGCUUGGGAGGCUCACGUUCAUAUAUUCAUGACUAUGCUCCUUCAGUUGAGUCUAUAUCAUCAGAUUUGUCAGCAAAUCCAAUUCUUAUGGGCAUGAAUGUAAAGCCUACAGAAUUUCCACUCUUUCUGGAAGGCCAAGAUUCUACAAGAGCAGCAUAUGCAAUAUUUUUGUUGAAUAAGGUUCAUCUUCUAUGCUUUAUUGUGCUUCUGUCUCUCUGUUUAAGGUAGAAGUUGGCAUCAAUAUGUAUCUCCAUAUGUUGCUACCAAUAGGUUUGUCUAAAUCUAACAAGUAUUGGAAG